GUCAAUGAUGUCGAAGUAUUUCAGCGAGUUACGUUGUAACUACGAACUGGCGAGAUGAGCUCGGCUUUAAGAAAAGAGAGUAAAAAAUGAAACUAACUCAACACUUAUCUUGUUUAUACGUGAGUUCCUUUGUUUGAUGUCGAUGAGCUACGAGGUUAGCUCAACUAUGCAUGGUUUCCUUUGGCGAGGUCAGCUGGGUUCUUAACAUUGCCGAGCUGCUUUGGGGUGUAGAAAAUCUUCUUGCCCCCCUACCUGGCGCGCCAUUUGUUGAACGUGGAUUCGCACGGGUCAAACAAGUCAACUUAUGUUGGAGAGUUUGGAGAUUUUCUGUUAAAUUAAGCUUAGGUCGACAACGAAAUAAGAACAAAGUUUAAGACAUGGUGAGGUGAGUUUGACGAGGUGGCGAGGUGAGUUUGACGAGGUGGCGAGGUGAGGUGAGUUUGACGAGGUGGCGAGGUGAGGUGAGUUUGGCGAGGUGACGAGGUGAGGUGAGCUUGACGAGGUGAUGAGGUGAGAUCAGCUUGACGAG
rnacentral:lncRNA from 1 species